ACCGGCGGAAGGGUGCGUAACGCGUGAGCAACAUGCCCGUGGCAGGGGGAUAAGCGAUGGAAACGUCGUCUAAGACCCCGUAACAACAGACCUCGCAUGGGGUUUGUUUGAAAGCUUCGGCGGCCACGGAUUGGCUCGCGUCCCAUUAGGCAGUUGGCGGGGUAACGGCCCACCAAACCGACGAUGGGUAGGGGUUCUGAGAGGAAGGUCCCCCACAAUGGAACUGAGACACGGUCCAUACUCCUACGGGAGGCAGCAGUGAGGAAUAUUGGUCAAUGGGCGGAAGCCUGAACCAGCCAUGCCGCGUGCAGGAAUAAGGCCCUACGGGUCGUAAACUGCUUUUGUACGGGAGCAAUAAGGGUCACGAGUGGCCUGAUGAGAGUACCGUACGAAUAAGCAUCGGCUAACUCCGUGCCAGCAGCCGCGGUAAUACGGAGGAUGCGAGCGUUAUCCGGAUUCAUUGGGUUUAAAGGGUGCGUAGGCGGCGUGCCAAGUCAGGGGUGAAAGGUUCCGGCUCAACUGGGACAGUGCCUUUGAUACUGGUGUGCUGGAGUGCGCUUGCCGUGGGAGGAAUGAGUGG
rnacentral:rRNA from 1 species